UCUUUAGGAUGCAGUAGAGGCAGGCUACCAGCAGAGGGGGCUUCAGGCUCAGCCUGGGAGCCCGGCUAUGUCCAGUUGGAGAAAGGUAAUGGUUUCAGAGAGCCAGGCCUUGGCACACUGGACCAACUUUAUCAGAAUGCCCUUUGGCUGGAGCCCAACGCUUGCUCAACACCAAGAGCUACCUGUUAACCGCUGAUGGAACGUGCUGGCCAUGCCCACCGAGAGCAACGGAAAGAAGCAAGUGUUGGCUGGCAAGUCCGCCUUUCCCUAAUAGUCCAUCCAAGACACGCCAAAAGACUGCCAAGACUUGCCAAGACUGCCAAGGUUGAUAGAGUGUGGAGCCUCAGGAAGCUCCCACCUUUUUUUCUAUCAGGCUGCCCCUUGGCAAUUCUUGAUGAAAUUGCAUAUUGAAUACAUAGGGUGAAGCAGCCUUAGUCUGGCCUCUUCAGGCUCCAAAGAGAUGAAGACUACCCUUCAACUACUCCAGGGCCUGAAGCUGCUUGGGGCCUAGAAUUCUCCAUGGCAUGUAUAAGCCACCUGGACUGCCUUUUCCCUGUCUGCCUCUUGCCCUUCUUGUGGGCCAUCCCAGGCCUCUCCAUAAAUCCAGGCUGUUCUCGUACUUACAAGCGAGCGAAGGCCAGGGCCAAGUGAUCACCCGCCUCUUCUCUCUGUCAUUUCUGUCUCUGUUCUCUUGUCAUUUACUCUGCUGGCACUCAAGGUGAAGAAGAGAUGGUGACAGGCUCCUCACACCCAUCUUUCAACCUACCAACUUCUUAGGACUCUUGUCCUGGAAGGAAGGUCUCAGACUGGCAGCAUCCCUUCCUGGGAGGGAAGGCCUGGUUCAGCACAAAGGUGUCAUGUUUGGAAUGUAGUCUGCCUGGAGUCAUUUCCAGGAACCCAUGGUCGCAGCAUUUGGAGUGUCCUCUGGUCCAGGGAUCAUAUCCCCAUUUUUCCUGAGUUCCUUGCUCUGUUUCUUCUGGCUGUUAACCUUCCUCUUCACCCUGACCCAGUUCACCUUGCUCUGCCCUUCUCUCCUACAGAGGCCUGUUCUCACAGAGACACCUAGGCCUCCAGCAUUUUAUCCCCAACUCCUGUGUGACAAGUGAGGGUCAUGACCUUUGCUGUCUUCCCUCUGGCCAUGGCAGCCCCACACCCUGGACCAUGGAAGGGAUGGUCCCGCACUGGUGAGCCUAUCACACUGGCAUACCUAUGGGAAAUAAGCACCCAUUCUCCUUCAAAGAAGAGUUGGAGGGAUGAAGAAAGAAGUAGGAAACCUGGAGUGGCGGUACAGGCCAGCAAUCCCAACACUGAGGAGACUGAGGUACACAUACAUAUUGUACCCACUUGCCAUGGCACAUCUGGGGUUCAGAGGACAACUGGCAGCACAUCUGGAGUUCAGAGGAUUACUGGUGGGAGUCAGUCCUCUACUUCCACAUUGUGGGUUCCAAGGAUCCAACUGAGGUCAUCAGGAGCGGCAGCAAGCACCUUCCCCUGCUGGUUCUUCAUUGCAAAACUUUCCCAUAGAUUCAGUCCUUUCGUUUACCCAGCAGUCAGCUUCGAGGUGUGGCCCAUUUUCCUAUAUGGCGACAAGAGUUAUGGAAGUCUGUUUAGGUUUGCCUGCUGUGCUCAGCCUCAGAGGCCACUGCCACGUGAGGCCCACCCCAGCCUAUGCACACAGACUCAAGUCCCUCUGCUUUGGCCUUGCAAAAGCAAAUCUCUCUCUCUCUCUCUCUCUCUUUCUUUCUCUCUCUCUUUCUCUCACAUACACACACACACACA
rnacentral:lncRNA from 1 species